rnacentral:rRNA from 1 species
UACGUAGGCAGCGAGCGUUGUUCGGAAUCACUGGGCGUAAAGGGCGCGUAGGCGGCCUUCUAAGUCAGACGUGAAAUCCCUCGGCUCAACCGAGGAACUGCGUCUGAUACUGGAAGGCUUGAAUCCGGGAGAGGGAUGUGGAAUUCCAGGUGUAGCGGUGAAAUGCGUAGAUAUCUGGAGGAACACCGGUGGCGAAGGCGGCAUCCUGGACCGGUAUUGACGCUGAGGCGCGAAAGCUAGGGGAGCAAACGGG